CCUACGGGAGGCUGCAGUGAGGAAUAUUGGUCAAUGGGCGCUAGCCUGAACCAGCCAAGUAGCGUGAAGGAUGACUGCCCUAUGGGUUGUAAACUUCUUUUAUAUGGGAAUAAAGUGCAGUAUGUAUACUGCUUUGCAUGUACCUUAUGAAUAAGGAUCGGCUAACUCCGUGCCAGCAGCCGCGGUAAUACGGAGGAUCCGAGCGUUAUCCGGAUUUAUUGGGUUUAAAGGGGGCGUAGGCGGGUUGUUAAGUCAGUUGUGAAAGUUUGCGGCUCAACCGUAAAAUUGCAGUUGAUACUGGCAGACUUGAGUACAGUAGAGGUAGGCGGAAUGCGUGGGGGAGCGGGGAGAUGCUUAGAUAUCACGAAGAACUCCGAUUGCGAAGGCAGCCUGCUGGACUGUAACUGAUGCUGAGGCUCGAAAGUGUGGGGAUCAAACAGGAUUAGAUACCCUAGUAGUC
rnacentral:rRNA from 1 species